rnacentral:rRNA from 1 species
AUGAAGAACGUAGCGAAAUGCGAUACUUGGUGUGAAUUGCAGAAUCCCGUGAACCAUCGAGUCUUUGAACGCAAGUUGCGCCUGAAGCCAUUAKGCCGAGGGCACGUCUGCAUGGGCGUCACGC